UGCCAGCAGCCGCGGUAAUACGUAGGUGGCAAGCGUUAUCCGGAAUUACUGGGCGUAAAGCGCACGCAGGCGGCUCUUUAAGUUUGACGUGAAAGCUCCCGGCUUAACUGGGAGAGGUCGUUGAAGACUGGAGAGCUUGAGGCAAUGAGAGGGGUGUAGAAUUCCCGGUGUAGUGGUGGAAUGCGUAGAUAUCGGGGGGAAUACCAGUGGCGAAAGCGGCACCCUAGCGUUGUACUGACGCUCAUGUGCGAAAGCGUGGGGAGCGAACGGGAUUAGAUA
rnacentral:rRNA from 1 species